CUUGUUCUGCUUGAUGUUUCUGAAGUUGCCGUGCUGCAGUUGCGCACGCGAAACGCUCCGGGAAUAUCAGCUGCGUCUUAUUCCGCCUCACACUCUUCUAAUAAGCUCUCGAUAACAAGCUAAAAGUGCUGUUCGCCUGUCUGACCGUUUUUGGAGCGCAGCGGACCGCCGCGUCCUCCUCCCGCGUCUGGAGCUCCUGCGCCUCUCUGCGCUUUUUGGCACCAGCCACUUUGAGUCCAAUCAUGCAGGACGCGUGUCUAUUUGCUGCCGCAGAUUCUAAUUAGAGCCAAUCAUGAGAGUCCUUGCGCUCUGACAUCACGACCGAUGGCACACCUCCAUCCCAUCCCAUCCCAUCCCAAGCGGGCGUGCGAACUCAGCCUUCAUCUCUGAAUGAGUGAUGAUGGGACUGAUGCGCGCCGAUGAGAGGACAGACAGGAGAGCUGAAUCCUCUACAGUGAAUGGGUGCCGUCAGAAUGAGAGUCCAAAAACUGGUGAAAACAUCUCAAUAAUCCACAAGUAAUCCACACCACUCCAGUCCAUCAAUUAAUGUCUUAAGAAGUUAAAGU
rnacentral:lncRNA from 12 species